ACCUGCCACCCGCCCAGCGGCGCGCGCGGGGCAGACACGGGGCGGGCCCUCAUGGAGUUUAUAGGCGAGGGGCGAGACAGGCGACAAACUAACCAGAUCUUUACUCGGACGAAGAACGCGGUGAAGGGACCCAGUUCUGGAGGUGAGAAGUCCAAGAUCAAGGGUCAGCAGAGGUGGUUUCUUCUAAGGAGCCUGAGGGAAGAAUCUGUUCCAGGCCUCUCUCCUUGACUUAUUUAAGAAGAAAAAUCACAUGAUUG